UUAUUUGCUCCUGGCUGUUGUAGUUCCUGACCUUCUUUGGCUUGCUGGUUUUGCCUUGACGCAUGAAUCUUCUCAGUCUUUUUACCAUCAUAGCAAGGUCUUCAUUAUCGUCUUCAUCAUAAUCAGAGUCAAUCUCAGUGUUGACCUUUGAUGCACUUUCAGUUGCCUUGAGAGCAACACCCUUAUCCUUCCUUCUUCCUUCUGAUUGGGUUUCAG
rnacentral:lncRNA from 1 species